ACCCCCGCAAUUAUCGAUCCCAUGACGCUGAACUCGGUGACUCCUUUCGCCUGGUGCCGCCUCGCCGUCGUCGCUCCUCCCCUGCUCUCAGCGCCUUCCUCACCAUCGCUGAUCAGCGUCUGCUCCGUCUCCAACGCCCUCAGGCGAAGGCGACCGGUUGGACUUUUCUCUAUAGCACAGGCAAGUUUGCUGAAAUCCAUCAUCGAUCAAACUGGGACUUGGGCCAGCCUCUUGAAGGCCCUUAUGGUCUAGAUCGAUUCUGCGAAAGCCGUCUUGUUUGAAUGGGCUGGUUCGAUUUGGAAGGAUCCAAAUUAGAUGUGCCAACGAACGAGAUGACGGAUCGUCGGGGUGUUGCUAGGAACUCGCAGCACAUCGCCUCCAAGCUGUUCGACUCUAUUCCUCUGAAGGAACAACGCCUUGAUAUUCGCGCUUGCACUAUCCUGCUUCGAUGCCUACGCUCGGGCUGGGAACAUCACAAAGCGGGUUGCACCGUACGGAAACCCGUGGCCGCUGACUCUUAGUUUGUACUGAUACAACAAUAUGCUCUUCGGAAGACCCUAUGGGCACAUGUAUGUGGAAGGUUGGCCAAUCCAAUAUUCCCCCACUAGUAUAAGAUGGCAAAAGUGGGGGUAGGGAGGAUAUAUAAAAAGAGCCCAACGAAUGAAGUGCCUUUCCUCUUUUCUUCUCGUGGCCGUCCACAAAUAAUGCGCUUGGUGACUCCACAGGUUCCAAAGGUGAUUGAAUGGGGAAGGAAAGAUGAGAUGGGAAAUGGGUGUUGUAUAUCUAAAGUUAGUUCGUGCAUUAUUUAUAUGUUAUCUGUUUGACCAUCCAAUUCACGAUGCUGCCAAGCCUACUUUUCUCGAGGCCUUCUUCUCACAUGUGAGCAGUUCCGAUCCCUUCUGAAAUUGAUGGGAUUGCUCAGCAGCAGUAGCCAACAAUACUAUUACGGCACGGUUCUACAUGGCCUGUCGACCUCAAGCUAGUCCGGAUGAGCACGGAGGCCGCAUGCAAUGGGUGAUACCACAACCUUUUCGCCUUUGGGCCACAAGACUUUUGUGCACUACGUGGACCUGACUGAUCGCAGCAUCGAGAUUGUUAGUUGUUAACUUCGCAUUUAAUCUGAGGAUUGGAACACCUCUGCUCAUUCAAGAUGAUGCAAUGGAUAACGUAUGGACAUGACCAGAGCUUCAUACUGCUAUAUAAUAUGAUUGUUCGUUUGUUUGGUAGGCAAUGGCACAAACACUCUUUCUUAAUGGGAUUACUUGGGACUGCCGUGCACCUCGGUCGGGCGAGAAAGAGAAGAAUGUAUCAGUUACAUGAUUGGCCAAGCAUCUUUUUCUCCAUUGCCCCACCAUCUUCACAUUAUUAGUGUAUACUGUUCUCCUGGCCCUUUGUUAAGUCAAAGGUGGUGGGAAGAGAUGAGUUCCGUCGUCGAGGUUCAGAAGAUGGAGGUCAGAUUCAGCUCGUACUGCAGUCAGUAGUGUACGCCACUCAUAUGGGUGGAGUGGAGUGUCCAUGCUUUCUGGUGGUUGAUAUCAUUAGGAUGUCUUCUUAGGGGGUGCACGCUCCAUAUUCUGCACCUUGUGUUGUUGGGCAUUGGAAUCACAUUACUAUUCUCUCUCUCCCUCUCUCUCUCUCUCUCGAUGUCAGACACACACACAUAAAAGACAGAGAGAGAUCGACUGCAAAGGAUUAUGCUUCUUAUCGAUCAAUGCCUAGUACCAUUCAGGAAGAGGCAAUGGUUCCUAUAUCUUAAGAGACAACCCCUGAAAGAUCACAUGUUCCCAUAGCCUCCUUUUUUCUUUCUCCUCAUGCUUUUCCUCAGUUUCCAAAUAUAUGUGUUGAUUAAUUGUUUCGUUACUGAGCUUCUCUGUCCUCUUCUUGUUAAAUUUAUAGGUAAAAUUUGAAGCAGAAUUCCAUGUUCCAAGUAUUUUACUUGUCAAAUUUCAAGAGUCUUUAAGUUCUAAAUUCCCUGCGCCAUCAGUCAGUUCCAUGGUGAGCAUGAAAAGAAUAUUUCACUCUACAUAGCAUGUCAUUGUUUUAGAUGGUUCUUUUUAUUAGAAUCUGUGAGCUA